rnacentral:rRNA from 1 species
CUCCGGGAAACCGGGGCUAAUACCGGAUAACAUUUUGAACCGCAAGGUUCCAAAUUGAAAGGCGGCUUCUGCUGUCACUUAUGGAUGGACCCGCGUCGCACUAGCUAGUUGGUGAGGUAACGGCUCACCAAGGCAACGAUGCGUAGCCGACCUGAGAGGGUGAUCGGCCACACUGGGACUGAGACACGGCCCAGACUCCUACGGGAGGCAGCAGUAGGGAAUCUUCCGCAAUGGACGAAAGUCUGACGGAGCAACUCCGCGUGAGUGAUGAAGGCUUUCGGGUCGUAAAACUCUGUUGUUA